rnacentral:rRNA from 1 species
UACCUGGUUGAUCCUGCCAGUAGUCAUAUGCUUGUCUCAAAGAUUAAGCCAUGCACGUGCAAGUUUAAACUGUCUCAGUGAAACUGCGAAUGGCUCAUUAAAUCAGUUAUGGUUCCUUUGAUCGUCACAUCCUACAUGGAUAACUGUGGUAAUUCUAGAGCUAAUACAUGCGGAAGAAGCGCCGACCUCACGGUCUGGCGUGCAUUUAUCAGACCAAGACCAACCCGGGGUUCGCCCCGGUCCCUUUGGUGACUCUGGAUAACCCAGCCGAUCGCACGGUCUUCGCACCGGCGACAGAUCAUUCGAAUGUCUGCCCUAUCAACUUUCGAUGGUAGGUUCUGUGCCUACCAUGGUGGCAACGGGUGACGGGGAAUCAGGGUUCGGUUCCGGAGAGGGAGCCUGAGAAACGGCUACCACAUCCAAGGAAGGCAGCAGGCGCGCAAAUUACCCACUCCCGACUCGGGGAGGUAGUGACGAAAAAUAACAAUACGGGACUCUUUCGAGGCCCCGUAAUUGGAAUGGGUACACUUUAAAUCCUUUAACGAGGAUCUAUUGGAGGGCAAGUCUGGUGCCAGCAGCCGCGGUAAUUCCAGCUCCAAUAGCGUAUAUUAAAGUUGUUGCGGUUAAAAAGCUCGUAGUUGGAUCUUGGGACCGGGCUUGCGGUCCGCCGCGAGGCGUGUCACUGCUCGUCCCGGCCCUCCCCGCCGGAUUCUCCUUGGUGCUCUUAACUGAGUGCCUCGGGGUGCCGGAGCGUUUACUUGAAAAAAUUAGAGUGUCAAAGCAGCCUGGCGCCGANNNNNNNNNNNNNNNNNNNNNNNNNNNNNNNNNNNNNNNNNNNNNNNNNNCCCGGACACAGUAAGGAUUGACAGAUUGAGAGCUCUUUCUUGAUUCUGUGGGUGGUGGUGCAUGGCCGUUCUUAGUUGGUGGAGCGAUUUGUCUGGCUAAUCCCGAUAACGAACGAGACUCUGGCAUGCUAACUAGUUCGGCGAUCCCGCGCGAUCGGCCGCAACUUCUUAGAGGGACAGCCGGCAGUAAGCCGGACGAGAUGGAGCAAUAACAGGUCUGUGAUGCCCUUAGAUGUCCGGGGCCGCACGCGCGCUACAAUGAAGGCAUCAGCGAGUCUUUCGCCUUCGCCGAAAGGUGCGGGUAACCUGCUGAACCGCCUUCGUGCUAGGGAUCGGGGAUUGCAAUUAUCUCCCAUGAACGAGGAAUUCCCAGUAGAUGCGUGUCAUCAGCGCGCGUUGAUUACGUCCCUGCCCUUUGUACACACCGCCCGUCGCUACUACCGAUUGAAUGGUUUAGUGAGGUCAGUCGAUCGGCCCCUCUCGGGCCGGCAACGGUCUGGAGGAGCGCCGAGAAGCCGAUCAAACUUGACCAUUUAGAGGAAGUAAAAGUCGUAACAAGGUUUCCGUAGGUGAACCUGCGGAAGGAUCAUUA